rnacentral:rRNA from 1 species
AUUGAACGCUGGCGGCAGGCCUAACACAUGCAAGUCGAGCGGGCGGCGGACGGGUGAGUAAGGUAUGGGGGCUGCCCGAUAGAGGGGGGUAACUACUGGAAACGGUGGCUAAUACCUCAUACUGUCGGAUAACCCAUAUGGGAUUGGCUAGUAGGUAAGGUAAUGGCUUACCUAGGCGACGAUCCCUAGCUGGUCUGAGAGGAUGAUCAGCCACACUGGGACUGAGACACGGCCCAGACUCCUACGGAGGCAGCAGUGGGGAAUAUUGCACAAUGGGCGCAAGCCUGAUGCAGCCAUGCCGCGUGUAUGAAGAAGGCCCUAGGGUUGUAAAGUACUUUCAGUCGGGAGGCGUUACCGACAGAAGAAGCACCGGCUAACUCCGUGCCAGCAGCCGCGGUAAUAC